rnacentral:lncRNA from 1 species
GGCAUGGCUGAACACAGAUCUCAAGGUGUUCACUCUGUCCUUCACCAACUCCCUAUCUUUGUCUCCUGGGACAAGGCAUCUGGAGCAGGCGACCCAGCAUGGACUACUGCAUCCUGAAGCUAAGCUACCCUCCAGUUACCCAGGGUUAAUGGAGCCUAAGUGGCAAGAUCAUCCUAGGGGCCCAGCGAUAGGGCCUGCCUGCAGGAGAUGAUUUGAGGACCAACUUCCAUCAGUCUUGCUGGGAAAACUUAGACUCACACUCUGGCAGCUGUCAGCACUGCUCCUUUGCCCUGCUGAGUUGUCCAUCUGUCCCUCUGCCUGCUGUUGCAAAUGAAGCUGUCAUUUCUAAGAGCCAAAGAAGAGAGGUGAACAGACAAGCAAGACUGGUGGAGGCAGCCUGGGCUCUUCCCAUCUUGUAUCCAGCUGGUCCCUGGAGGUGCUGGGCUUCCUGUCCAGAGAAAAGCUGUGAGCACAGAGAAGUGUGCACGCCCUGGGAGCCGGCCAGGCUGCCAGCAAGGCAGCUGAAGUCUUGAGAAAACUUCCUGAUUGCAUUAACAAGGUCACACCACCAGGACCUAAUCAAAUCCCCCUAGAGAAGGCGGCUUCUGGAAAGGCUGCUGCUCACACAUGGCAGAAC